GGGAUAUGAUGAGUGGUAAAUGCUCGCAACAAAAUAUGCGAGAUGGGUGCCCGCCUAAAGCCUGUUACGACAUUGGGUCACUCUCAUUUUAAACCAAUCUGAUCCC